rnacentral:rRNA from 1 species
AACGCGAAGAACCUUACCCGGGCUCGAAAUGUAGAGAACGCUAGCAGAAAUGUUAGUUCCCGAAAGGGGCUCUAUAUAGGUGCUGCAUGGCUGUCGUCAGCUCGUGCCGUGAGGUGUUUGGUUAAGUCCAGCAACGAGCGCAACCCUUAUUGUCAGUUGCCAACGCGUAAUGGCGGGGACUCUGGCAAGACUGCCUAGGUUAACUAGGAGGAAGGUGAGGAUGACGUCAAGUCCGCAUGGCCUUUAUGUCCGGGGCUACACACGUGCUACAAUGGUCGGUACAGAAGGCAGCGAAGCCGCGAGGUGGAGCUAAUCCGUAAAGCCGAUCUCAGUUCAGAUUGCAGACUGCAACUCGUCUGCAUGAAGUUGGAAUUGCUAGUAAUGACGUGUCAGCAACAGCGUCGUGAAUACGUUCCCGGGCCUUGUA